CCUACGGGUGGCAGCAGUGAGGAAUAUUGGUCAAUGGACGAGAGUCUGAACCAGCCAAGUAGCGUGAAGGCUGACUGCCCUAUGGGUUGUAAACUUCUUUUAUCAGGGAAUAAAAUGUUCCACGUGUGGGCUUUUGUAUGUACCCUAUGAAUAAGGAUCGGCUAACUCCGUGCCAACAACCGCGGUAAGACGGAGGAUUCGGGCGUUAUCCGGAUUUGUUGGGUUUAAAGGGAGCGUAGGUGGAUUGUCAAGUCAGUUGUGAAAGUUUGCGGCUCAACCGUAAAAUUGCAGUUGAAACUGGCAGUCUUGAGUACAGUAGAGGUGGGCGGAAUGCGUGGUGUAGCGGUGAAAUGCUUAGAUAUCACGAAGAACUCCGAUUGCGAAGGCAGCUCACUGGACUGCAACUGACACUGAGGCUCGAAAGUGUGGGUAUCAAACAGGAUUAGAUACCCUUGUAGUC
rnacentral:rRNA from 1 species